rnacentral:rRNA from 1 species
UACAGGGGGGGCAAGCGUUGUUCGGAAUUACUGGGCGUAAAGGGCUCGUAGGCGGCCAACUAAGUCCGACGUGAAAUCCCAAAGCUUAACUUUGGAACUGCGUCGGAUACUGGAUGGCUUGAAUUCGGGAGAGGGAUGCAGAAUUCCAGGUGUAGCGGUGAAAUGCGUAGAUAUCUGGAGGAACACCGGUGGCGAAGGCGGCAUCCUGGACCGAUAUUGACGCUGAGGCGCGAAAGCCAGGGGAGCAAACGGG